rnacentral:lncRNA from 1 species
UGUAAGUUGAUUCCUUUCAAAAAAUUAUCUUCGUUAGAUAAUUUAACCUUCAUCACAAACUUCUCCAUUUUUAGGAGGCCAUUUUUCAUUCUCCACCCCAUUAUCUUCUCUACCAUACCAUCACUCUUCAUAUCUUUAGUCACCAUCUUUAUCUUUAUGAACACCAAUCUCUAUAUAGAUAUCUAGCUAUAUAGCUUGUGUUAUUCAUCUUAAAAUUUCAUGUAAUCUUUCAUUUAUAUAGUGGAUUAGCAACGACUUGCUCUUAUGGACAUCAAUUGAAGACCAAAUCAGGUAAACAUUGCGUGCUCUUUAUAUUUACGCUUAUUUUACUAUAUUUUCAAUUUGAGGUCGAGAUUAUAUUUUAGGUAUGAGCUUAUUUGAGCUACUCCAGUUAUGCUAAGUAUUUUGUGAGACCAUAUGAAUUAUCCACCAAGCACACUUGAGUCACUUGCCCCAACCAUCAGAAAACAUAUUUAAAUACAAAUUUAGCACAAGCUUCCCUCAAAUAUAAAUUUAUUUAUUUGAAUCAGAUUUAAGUUGGAUCCAGUGAGAACCACUCAAUUAAUUCGAAUCGGAUCCUAGUGGAAAUUUGGUGAAAAAAUUAAAGACAAACCGAAGUGGAUUGAAAUUGGAAAGGUUUUCAAACCUUAUAAAUUGAUGAAGUUGAGCAUACAAGCAUAUCUGGAGUCAAAAUUAUGGAACCCACACGUACAAAAGCAAUUAACGAGUAGUUAACAAGUCAAUGGCUGAGCAAGACCUCUAAAGUAGAGAAGAAUUUUCCCUUCUCGCUGUGCCAAAAGUCUUCAAAGAUGUUUAGCUAUAAAGAUUACCCAAAGAAAGUCCACUUGUUGCAGUUUUGUCAGAUCAAUCUUUGUAUUAAUUGCCUCUUCUUGUAACCACAAUUAAUGUCCAUGAAAACUCAUCCUAGAAAAUUUCAGAAUUAAUUGAAAAAUUAAAGGUAAAAUAAUGAAAGUGAUGGAUUCAGUCAUAUAUAUCUACAUUUUCUUUUAUUUUUUAGCAUCAAGAAAUAGAAAAUUUGACUGUAUCUAUGUGAGAGGGCAAAGUAUAACGUCACAUAUACGAGCCUUUUUCUUGAAGUGAUUUUUCUUAAUCUUCGAUCUGUUUGUCUUCUUAAGUUUCUUCAAUUUGAGCAAUAAACGUUCUGUAUGUUGUUGACUAGUG